rnacentral:rRNA from 1 species
AGGACGAACGCUGGCGGCGUGCCUAACACAUGCAAGUGGAGCGACGAACCAGGCUUCGGCCUGGGGCAAAGCCGCGAACGGGUGAGUAACACGUGGGUAACCUGCCCCGAUGAUUGGGACAACCCGAGGAAACUCGGGCUAAUACCGAAUGUGCCCUACGGCCAUAAGGCCGCUGGGGAAAGGAAGCUUCGGCCUCCGCAUCGGGAUGGGCCCGCGGCCCAUUAGCUUGUUGGUGAGGUAACGGCUCACCAAGGCGACGAUGGGUAGCUGGUCUGAGAGGACGAUCAGCCACACUGGGACUGAGACACGGCCCAGACUCCUACGGGAGGCAGCAGUGGGGAAUCUUGCGCAAUGCGCGAAAGCGUGACGCAGCAACGCCGCGUGGGGGAAGAAGGCCUUCGGGUUGUAAACCCCUUUCAGUUGGGACGAAAUUGACGGUACCUGCAGAAGAAGGCCCGGCCAACUACGUGCCAGCAGCCGC